rnacentral:rRNA from 1 species
UUAAAUUGAAGAGUUUGAUCAUGGCUCAGAUUGAACGCUGGCGGCAGGCCUAACACAUGCAAGUCGAGCGGUAGCACAGAGAGCUUGCUCUCGGGUGACGAGCGGCGGACGGGUGAGUAAUGUCUGGGAAACUG